rnacentral:rRNA from 1 species
CUUUACUGUAACCUGGUAUUGGGUUCGGGCUUUGACUGCGCAGGAUAGGUGGGAGACUAUGAAGUGCUGCUUGUGGGUAGCAUGAGUCAACAGUGAGAUACCACUCUGUCAGAGCUAGAAUUCUAACCUUCACCCAUGAUCUGGGGAAGGAACCGUAUCAGGCGGGCAGUUUGACUGGGGCGGUCGCCUCCUAAAUGGUAACGGAGGCGCGCAAAGGUGUUCUCAGGCUGGUUGGAAAUCAGCCGCAGAGUGUAAAGGCAGAAGAACGCUUGACUGUGAGAGUGACAACUCAAGCAGGGUGGAAACACGGCCUUAGUGAUCCGACGGCUUGUGCGUGGAAAUGCCGUCGCUCAACGGAUAAAAGUUA